GGCCUGGACAUUCUAGUGGGAAAGUUUAUACGCGAUUAUAUAAACAGACACAAGAAGAUUCUCGUUCUGCGUAUGAGUGAUAUGUUAUAAACGUGUCUGACAAAGCAAGAGACAAAACAUUCCAUGUUCGUUUCUUGCGACUUCAUUUUCGAAUGGUUUUCGGUCGAUUUGUUGAGCUUUUACAUUUAACGCUACUUCCGCCAUUCUUACCACUGAAGUAAGAAGAUCUAUAAAGAAGAAUAGAGUUCAGUUGCAGACACGGCCGUGUUGCAGAUUGCAGACACAAGGCACGCCACGCGACGAAGCCUAACAGACUAACCAAUCGAUUAAAGCACCUUAUUUUCAGAAACAUUUUCUGACUCGUAAAUGAUUUAUCCCCUCCACUCUAAUUUCCAGACCUGUGUAUACAACCAUGAUCUAUUAUAGGGCUCGUAAACCUUGGGAAGAAAAAAGCAUUGGGUGCCAGGUCUAUUCUGUAUUAUGUCUGUGUUACCACUCAAUGCAUUUCUUCGUCCCAACCUUACCGGCAAGGUACAGAAUCAAGGAUGAAUAGAGAGAUUAACGCUUAUGGACGAAACACAGCCAAAAAAUGGACACUGAGGAUAAGAGCCUCUGAUGAUCAACGAUUGUACUAUCCGCCAAUGUGCUCCUGAUGGUAGAAACGAUUGAAUCAUACAUGGAAAUACAUAGAGGAAACAUACAUACACUACCAGACAUGAGUUUGAGGGCAUCAUUCGGAAGGCAAUCAAUAUCAGCUGCCAUUUAGAGAAUAUUAUCUGAUUUUAAAUAAUAAAAACAUAAAUACACUCAAAAAAUGUCUUACCUGACGUUUAUACAACGCAUGAGAAGCAUGAAUCAAUACGAACAAGGAAGUAGGAGGUAUCCGAGUCCUGAAUAAAAGUUUCACUGAUAAAGUAAUAGAGAAAAUAUUUUCAAAAUAUAAAACGGACAAUCCUCGUUUACUCUGUGAUAAACUUUGUGGCCGAGCCAGGUAGGAGGGAACCUAAUGAUUUUACAGGAAAGUUUAGAAUGAAAUAUGUAGGUGUUGAAAAGACCUACAAAGUGAGAUCUAUAAAGUUAAAAUCUGUCCAUACGUUAACUUUCAAAAGAAUAUGGAAUAUUCCUUCAAUUUUUAUGGUAGCGGAUCGGUAUAAAUUCUUUCUUCUUAUUUAUUUAAUAGAAAAGUCACACUUUUUUGGAGCCACGAAUUUUUACCUUUCUUAGUAUCUACAUUUUUCAUUCUACUUUUUUUCUGUAAAAUCGUUAUGAAUUCUCCGAUCAUUGCCGAUCGCUUCCUUCUGCACACGAAAAUCCUUCUUUUCACACCCUUAUGUAUUUUUCUAAUAAUCGUAAUAAUAACGACGUUAGAAAAGAGUGUAGCAGGAUAAGAAACUCAAAAGCGCCCUUGAACCGAUUUUAUCAGACAAUGGAUUACUCGGUAGCUUACCGAAAGAAAACAUCGUAAAUCAAUUCUCAACAUUUUACCUCGACCGCGAGAUAGUUGUUACAGUUGUACAAUACAUUACGAUUUUUAUGAUUGGAGAUGUAAAUUUGUUGAUUGCAAUAAAAAUCAAAU